rnacentral:rRNA from 1 species
AGGAUUAACGCUGGCGGCGUGCCUAACACAUGCAAGUCGAACGAGGUAGCAAUACCUAGUGGCAGACGGGUGAGUAACGCGUGGUCAACCUACCGUUGAGUGGGGGAUAACUAGCCGAAAGGUUAGCUAAUACCGCAUACGAGUCUCGGGGGCAUCCCUGGGCCUUAAAAGGAGCAAUCCGCUCGAUGACGGGACCGCGUCCCAUUAGCUAGAUGGUGGGGUAAUGGCCUACCAUGGCUCCGAUGGGUAGCUGGUUUGAGAGAGCGACCAGCCACACUGGGACUGAGAAACGGCCCAGACUCCUACGGGAGGCAGCAGUGAGGAAUUUUCCGCAAUGGGCGAAAGCCUGACGGAGCGACGCCGCGUGUGGGAAGAAGGCCUUCGGGUCGUAAACCACUGUCGAAGGGGACGAUAAUGACGGUACCCUUGGAGGAAGCCCCGGCUAACGUACGUGCCAGCAGCCGC